UACAGGGGGUGCAAACGUUGCUCGGAAUCAUUGGGCGUAAAGCGCACGUAGGCGGUUCGUUAUGUCGGAUGUGAAAGCCCUUGGCUUAACCGAGGAAGUGCAUCCGAAACUGGCGAGCUAGAGUACGAAAGAGGAUCGCGGAAUUCCCGGUGUAGAGGUGAAAUUCGUAGAGAUGUGGAGGAACACCAGUGGCGAAGGCGGCUUUUUGGUCUGUAACUGACGCUGAGGCGCGAAAGCGUGGGGAGCAAACAGG
rnacentral:rRNA from 1 species